UACAGAGGUCCCGAGCGUUGUUCGGAUUCACUGGGCGUAAAGGGUGCGUAGGUGGCAUGGAAAGUUUGAUGUGAAAGCUCAGGGCUUAACCCUGAAAUGGCAUUGAAUACUGCCGGUGCUGGAGGUUUGGAGGGGGGACUGGAAUUCUUGGUGUAGCAGUGAAAUGCGUAGAUAUCAAGAGGAACACCAGUGGCGAAGGCGAGUCCCUGGACAACACCUGACACUGAGGCACGAAAGCUAGGGGAGCAAACAGG
rnacentral:rRNA from 1 species